UGAAUCUUCUGCUCUUGUUUGUGUGA
rnacentral:piRNA from 1 species